rnacentral:rRNA from 1 species
GACGAACGCUGGCGGCGUGCCUAAUACAUGCAAGUCGAACGCAGUGGGGACGGGUGAGUAACACGUGGGUAACCUCCCAUCAGAGGGGAUAACACUUGGAAACAGGUGCUAAACCGAUACUGAUGGAUGGACCCGCGGUGCAUUAGCUAGUUGGUGAGGUAACGGCUCACCAAGGCCACGAUGCAUAGCCGACCUGAGAGGGGUAUCUGCCACACUGGUACUGAGACACGGCCCAGACUCAUACGGGAGGCAGCAGUAGGGAAUCUUCGGCAAUGGACGAAAGCCUGGCCGGGUGAAGCCGAGUGAGUGAUGGAGGUUUUCGGAGCGUAAAACCCUUUUGUUAGGGAAGCGGUAUCUAACCAGAAAGCCACGGCUACCUACGUGCCAGCAGCCGCGGUAAUAC